GCUACUAUCAAAGAUGUUAUUAAGAAGAGGGUUGAUAAAUGGCCUUUUCUGGAUCAUUUACUUUUACAGAGCAUCGGGGAUAGUUUAUUAUGUGUUUUUUUCCAAUUGCUCCUUAUAGGGGAUAUGCUCAGGGGUACGACAUAAAUCUGUUGCGCAAUGAGGCAUUAUAAGCAUUAAUUUCCCUAAAGCAGUUUGGGAUUUCAAUCUCGAGAUUUUCCACUGUUAAAAACAAGCACUGAAAGGCAAGGCUAACACAGGGAUUCUGGGAUAUUUAAGAAGUAAGUAAGGACAACAGUGUUGUUGUAGCUAGGAAACAAAGAAAAAUUCCAUGUGCUUGAUCGCAAUUAUCAAUACAGAUAGAGGAGAAAACUAUAAGUUUUUCAUUAUAUUUCAGCCCAAGCUAUAGUCUAUCAUGCAUAGUGUUGAAAAUGUAUGUCUAGG